rnacentral:rRNA from 1 species
AGUGAACGCUGGCGGUAGGCCUAACACAUGCAAGUCGAACGGCAGCACAGUAAGAGCUUGCUCUUACGGGUGGCGAGUGGCGGACGGGUGAGGAAUACAUCGGAAUCUACUUUUUCGUGGGGGAUAACGUAGGGAAACUUACGCUAAUACCGCAUACGACCUACGGGUGAAAGCAGGGGAUCUUCGGACCUUGCGCGAUUGAAUGAGCCGAUGUCGGAUUAGCUAGUUGGCGGGGUAAAGGCCCACCAAGGCGACGAUCCGUAGCUGGUCUGAGAGGAUGAUCAGCCACACUGGAACUGAGACACGGUCCAGACUCCUACGGGAGGCAGCAGUGGGGAAUAUUGGGCAAUGGGCGAAAGCCUGAUCCAGCCAUACCGCGUGGGUGAAGAAGGACUUCGGGUUGUAAAGCCCUUUUGUUGGGAAAGAAAAGCAGCAGGUUAAUAACCCGCUGUUCUGACGGUACCCAAAGAAUAAGCACCGGCUAACUUCGUG